CCUACGGGUGGCAGCAGUGGGGAAUAUUGCGCAAUGGGCGAAAGCCUGACGCAGCGACGCCGCGUGCGGGAUGAAGGUCUUCGGAUCGUAAACCUCUGUCAGCAGGGAAGAACGGUCACUGUGCUAAUCAGCAGUGAAUUGACGGUACCUGCAAAGGAAGCACCGGCUAACUCCGUGCCAGCAGCCGCGGUAAUACGGAGGGUGCGAGCGUUAAUCGGAAUUACUGGGCGUAAAGCGCUCGUAGGCGGGAUGUCAAGUCAAGGGUGAAAUCCCCGCGCUCAACGUGGGAACUGCAUUUGAAACUGGCAAACUGGAGUGUGUGAGAGGAUAGUGGAAUUCCAGGUGUAGGGGUGAAAUGCGUAGAUAUCUGGAGGAACAUCAGUGGCGAAGGCGACUAUCUGGCACAUAACUGACGCUGAGGAGCGAAAGCGUGGGUAGCAAACAGGAUUAGAUACCCGAGUAGUC
rnacentral:rRNA from 1 species